AGCUCCAUGUUGGAGAAGCAGGGCACGUGCAAACUCUAUUGAGCUCUAAAAUGCUAUUAAAUCAUUUGCACGUGUUUUCCUUCUCCAACACGAGUUU
rnacentral:pre_miRNA from 2 species